CGACGCCUUUGCAGUCCUCCGUGACACCGCGAUGCGAUAGCUCCGUCACGUUGGAGGCUCAAGCUGGCCUGUGUCCUGUUACUGGAGUUCGUGGUGAAAAGCGGCCCUGGAGGUGAACGUCGUCGGCCGGUUCCUUGGCCACUUUGGUUAUCUUUUGAUUUGUACGGGUGUGAGUGAUUUUGCCAGAGCAAAGCAGGGUCUCCCUAUUCGGUUCAGACUGGCUUUGAACUUGCCUCCAUCUUCCUUCCUCGGCCUCCCAACUGCUGGGAUUACAAGCAUGCGCCACCAUGCCUGGUGGCUUUUUACAUUGGAGCCGCCUGAAACCCUUUUCUAAGCCUAGCAAAUUUCUUUUACAAAUGAUAGAAACAUUGACUGCUGGCCUGAAUGAAUAACCAAGAAUUUGUCAUCCGUUUUUUGUUUUUGUGACAUUGCUCUGUAGUCAGGAAAUCUUUGAAUGCCCAAGAAUAUACUGAAAACGCCAGCGUGAUAAAUUGUAUUUCCAAAUACACAACUGUCUUCGUUGGCCUGUGUGGAACUUUAGUAUCUGUUUGCUGCCUACUUAAACGCAGACUGAACAGGUUAUUUUGUUAAAACGCUUGACCUCAACCUGGUGUCUUAUUUUCUAAGUGAAGAAUAUAAUCAGUAAAAUUCAGCAGGACCAGUUUACCUUACUUCAAGUUCUGGUAGUAAAGCAAGUCGAGGACCUAAGAAACCUGCACAAUUAAAAUCCAUUCAAGCUAUGAGGCAGAAAUCACACAAAAAAUGGUUCGGUGUCUAAGCCAAAUUUUACCUGAAAUCAACUUCAUUUGGAUAGUAGACGUUCUAAGGAAGUCUAAGAAAUGUCCUGAAGUCAUGAAGAAUGGUGGUUCAACUUUUAAAGAUGAGCAGUGAAACUCAGAAGAAAAUUAUUUUAAGUUCAUUUCUGUAAUAUAAAAUGUCCAUUACAAAAUUGCAGGGAAAAUGCCACGUUGAGAUUGCUGUUUUAUUCAUUGAUAAAUAGAUAAUUCUUUUAUCGCUGAUUUUUGUGACACUUAGAAGAUGACCCAGUUAAGGUAAUAUUUCAUUGAACAAGGAGUUUUGUCUCUCUUCUUUGACUGUGAGGCAUGUAGUACCCCAAAUAUGAUGCUCUGAGUGUUGAUAUUUUAUAGAGUUUUCCCAAGUAAAUUCAAAGCAUGAUCAUGUUGUGACUUCCAGAGAAUGAACACCCUGAGUGCUGAUCCUGAUUUUGUAAAUGUGGUAACACGGUUCCCAUUUUGUAUUGGAAAAUUAUACUGAGCUUAGAAAAAAUGAAAAUGUAGAAUGAGAAAAGUAGAAUUGGGAAUAUAUCACCCCCUUUGUACCUCUGAGGGAAACCCAAGGCAGUUAUUUAGAUAAGUAUUACCAAAUGACUUUUUAAAAAUCCAUUUCUGUAUUGUAUACAGUAGUCUCGAUCUUGGCUUUGUGUUUUGUUCAGUUAACCCACACACCCCUCAGAGUUAGAUGUUAUCCAUGUUCAGUAAAUCUUUAGUCUGUUUUUAUAGGCUACAACAAACACAUCCUUCUCAUGAAAGGGACAGAAUACUCAGAGACACAAGACAGUUUUCUCAGUGACCCCAGUGGUCAUUUAACUAGUCAGCUAGCAUGGAAAAACUGGGAAGCACAAGUAAAACAGUAAAUUAUCCCAAAUCCUUACUGAGAUCCUUCCAGAUAUUGUCCCAUAUAAAUAUAUUUUUCCUUUAACAAGAAAAACCAUACCCUGGACACACUUCUAAUGCCCCUUCCCAAAAAAAAAAAAUUCAAGAAUGUCUUUCAUGUCAGUAAAUAAUAGAUCUACAUCCUUUAAUGAA